rnacentral:rRNA from 1 species
CAGCCGCCGCGGGAAUACGAAGGGGGCUAGCGUUGUUCGGAUUUACUGGGCGUAAAGCGCACGUAGGCGGAUCGAUCAGUCAGGGGUGAAAUCCCAGAGCUCAACUCUGGAACUGCCUUUGAUGCUGUCGAUCUGGAGUAUGGAAGAGGUGAGUGGAAUUCCGAGUGUAGAGGUGAAAUUCGUUGAUAUUCGGAGGAACACCAGUGGCGAAGGCGGCUCACUGGUCCAUUACUGACGCUGAGGUGCGAAAGCGUGGGGAGCAAACAGGAUUAGAUACCCGGGUAGUCCCUGUCUCUUAUAC